GGAAAGGAUUACGGUGGAUACCUAGGCACCCAUAGAAGAGAAAGGGCAUAGUAAUCGAUGAAAUGCUUUGGGGAGGUGAAAAUAAGCAUAGAUCCGUAGAUUCCCGAAUAGGGAAACCUUUCGAACUGAUCCUGAAUCCAUGGGCAGGAAAGAGACAACCUGGCGAACUGAAACAUCUUAGCAGCCGGAAGAAAAGAAAGCAAAAGCGAUUCUCGUAGUAGCGGCGAGCGAAUGGGAGCAGCCUAAACAGUGAAAACGGGGUUGUGGGAGAGCAAUACAAGUGUUGUGAUGCUAGACAAAGCAACCUGAAUGUUGCACCCUAGAUGGCAAAAGUCCUGUAGCUGAAAGCAUCAUUAGCUUACGCUCUGACCCGAGUAGCAUGGCGCACGUGGGAUCCCGUGUGAAUCAGCAUGGACCACCUUGCAAGGCUAAAUACUCCUGGGUGACCGAUAGCAAAGUAGUACCGUGAGGGAAGGGUGAAAAGAACCCCCAUCAGGGAGUGAAAUAGAACAUAAAACUGUAAGCUCCCAAGCAGUGGGAGGAGCCAUGGCUCUAACCACGUGCCUAUUGAAGAAUGAGCCGGCGACUCAUAGGCAGUGGCUUGGUUAAGGGAACCCACCAGAGCCGUAGAGAAAGCGAGUCUUCAUAGGGCAAUUGUCACUACUUAUGGACCCAAACCUGGGUGAUGUAUCCAUGACCAGGAUGAAGCUUGGGUGAAACUAAGUAGAGGUCCGAACCGACUGAUGUUGAAGAAUCAGCGGAUGAGUUGUGGUUAGAGGUGAAAUGCCACUCGAAACUAGAGCUAGCUGGUUCUCCCCAAAAUGCAUUGGGGUGCAGUAUUUGACUAGACAUCUAGGGGUAAAGCACUAUUUCGGUGUGGGCCACGAGAGCGGUACCAAAUCGAGGCAAACUCUGAAUACUAGGUAUGGCCUUAAAAUUAAAAAAGAGGGGUCAAAGUCGGCUAGUGAGACGAUGAGGGAUAAGCUUCAUCGUCGAGAGGGAAACAGCCUGGACCACCAGCUAAGGCCCUUAAAUGGCCGCUCAAUAAUAAAGAAGGUAGGGGUGCGGAGACAGCCAAGAGGUUUUCCUAGAAGCAGCCACCCUUGAAAGAGUGCAUAAUAGCUCACUGAUCGAGCUCUCUAGCACCGAAGAUGAACGGGGCUAAGCGAUCUGCCAAAGCUGUAGGAUGUAAAAAUACAUCAGUAGGGGAGUGUUCUGCAUUAGAGGGAAGCCUCUGCGUGAGCGGUGGUGGAUAAAGCAAAAGCGAGAAUGUCGGCUUGAGUAAUGCAAACAUUGGUGAUAAUCCAAUGCCCCAAAAACCUAAGGGUUCCUCUGCAAUGUUCAUCCAUUGAGGGUGAGUCACGGCCUAAGAUCAGGCCGAAAGGCAUGGUCAAUGGACAAAAGGUGAAUAUUCCUGUACUACCCCUUGUUGGUCCCAAGGGAUGGAGGAGGCUAGGUUAGUCAAAAGAUGGUUAUCAGUUCAAGAAUGUAAGGUGUCCCUGCCUUUUUUUUAGGGUAAGAAGGGGUAGAGAAAAUACCUUGAGCAAACGUUUGAAUACCAGGCGCUACGGCGCUGAAGUAACCCAUGCCAUACUCCCAGGAAAAGCUCGAAUAACUUUAAGCAAGAGGUUACCUGUACCCGAAACCGACACAGGUGGGUAGGUAGAGAAUACCUAGGGGUGCAAGACAACUCUCUCUAAGGAACAAAGCAAAAUAGCCCCGUAACUUUGGGAGAAGAGGUGCCUUUUCACAUCACAAAGGGGGUCGUAGUGACCAAGCCCAGGCGACUGUUUACCAAAAACAUAGGGUCUCCAAAAAUUCGUAAGAGCAUGUAUGGGGGCUGACGCUUGCCCAGUGCCAGAAGGUCAAGGAUGUUGGUGACCUGAUGAUAGGGGAGCCGACAAUCGAAGCCCCGGUGAACGGAGACCAUAACUAUAACGGUCCUAAGGUAGUGAAAUUCCUUAUUAGGUAAGUUCUGACCCACACAAAAGUCGUAAUGAUCUGGGCACUAUCUCGAAGAGAGGCUCGAUAAAUAGACAUGUCUGUAAAGAUGCGGUCUACCUGUACCUGGACAGAAAGAUCCUAUGAAGCAUCACUAUUCCCUAGGAUUGGCUUUGGGCCUUUCCUGUGCAGCUUAGGUGGAAGGCAAAGAAGGCCUCCUUCCAAGGGGACCCGAGCCAUCAGUGAGAUAACACUCUGGAAGGGCUAGAAUUCUAGCCUUGUGUCAGGACCUAUGGGCUAAGGGACAGUCUCAGGUAGAUAGUUUCUAUGGGGCGUAGGCCUCCCAAAAGGUAACGGAGGCGUGCAAAGGUUUCCUUAGGCCGGACAGAGAUUCGCCCUCGAGUGCAAAGGCAGAAGGGAGCUUGACUUCAAGACCCACCCGUCUAGCAGGGACAAAAUUCGGCCUUAGUGAUCCGACGGUUCCGAGUAGAAGGGUCGUCGAUCAAAGGAUAAAAGUUAAUCUAAGGAUAAAUGGCUGAUCUUCACUAAGAGCUCACAUCGAUGGGAAGGUUUGGCACCUCAAUGUCGGCUCUUCGCCACCUGGGGCUAUAGUAUGUUCCAAGGGUUGGGCUGUUCGCCCAUUAAAGUGGUACGUGAACUGGGUUAGAAGGUCGUGAGACAGUCCGGUCCAUAUCUGGUGUGGGCGUUAGAGCAUUGAGAGGACCUUUCCCUAGUACGAGAGGACCGAGAAGGACGCACUUCUGGUGUACCAGUUAUCGUUCCCACGGUAAAUGCUGGGUAGCCAAGUGCGGAGCGGAUAAUUGCUGAAAGCAUCUAAGUAGUAAGCCCACCCCAAGAUGAGUGCUCUUUUAUUUCGACCUCCCCAUAUCUUCCAGUAGCACAGACGAGAUAGCGACGGGUUCUCUGCCCCUGUGGGGAUGGAGCGACAGAAGUUUUUUUGAGAAUUCAAGAGAAGGUCACGACGAGAUGAGCCGUUUAUCAUUACGAUAGGUUUCAAGUGGAAGUGCAGUGAUGUAUGCAGAUGAGGCAUCCUAACAGACCGGUAGACUUGAAC
rnacentral:rRNA from 1 species